GCAACGCGAAGAACCUUACCAGGCCUUGACAUCCAAUGAACUUUCCAGAGAUGGAUUGGUGCCUUCGGGAACAUUGAGACAGGUGCUGCAUGGCCGUCGUCAGCUCGUGUCGUGAGAUGUUGGGUUAAGUCCCGUAACGAGCGCAACCCUUGUCCUUAGUUACCAGCACGUUAUGGUGGGCACUCUAAGGAGACUGCCGGUGACAAACCGGAGGAAGGUGGGGAUGACGUCAAGUCAUCAUGGCCCUUACGGCCUGGGCUACACACGUGCUACAAUGGUCGGUACAGAGGGUCGCCAAGCCGCGAGGUGGAGCUAAUCUCACAAAACCGAUCGUAGUCCGGAUCGCAGUCUGCAACUCGACUGCGUGAAGUCGGAAUCGCUAGUAAUCG
rnacentral:rRNA from 1 species